UAUUACAAUGAAGAGUUUGAUCCUGGCUCAGGAUGAACGCUAGCUACAGGCUUAACACAUGCAAGUCGAGGGGCAGCAUGGUCUUAGCUUGCUAAGGCCGAUGGCGACCGGCGCACGGGUGAGUAACACGUAUCCAACCUGCCGUCUACUCUUGGACAGCCUUCUGAAAGGAAGAUUAAUACAAGAUGGCAUCAUGAGUCCGCAUGUUCACAUGAUUAAAGGUAUUCCGGUAGACGAUGGGGAUGCGUUCCAUUAG
rnacentral:rRNA from 1 species